rnacentral:lncRNA from 1 species
GAUAGUUCCUACCUGGUGAUUCUACCAAAAACAAUGUGCUGACCUCUGGUGUAAAGUUACUCGACCUGAUUUCAGGCACAUUUCCGUGACCACACCUGUUGGCUUUAUCUUUGGAAUACUGAGGCCAAAAGCUAAGACUCUAGAUUCCGAAACACUGAGAUUCAAAGUCUAGUGUUGUCCUGGCUUUGGGCAAGAAUCCAAAACCUUCAUAUGCUUUGCUUUCUUAACUUGCAUGCCACGGUUGAGCAGAUCUCUGGGGAUGCUUCCAUAUCCGAUCCAUAGCGAAGUAAGGCUUGUUGCUCAGGGGCUCCAGGAGAGAGUGGAAGAGGCAUAAAUACAAGCUUUGUGGAUAGUCAACACCAGUAGUUUUCAAAUCAGAAGGAUGCAUCAUGUAUGCUCCACUGGACUACAAAAGUGGAAAUAAACUAUUUAUUUGAAUCACCUCUCAACUGUUCACUCCACGAGAGUGAGAAAAUUCCCCUGCCCAGACUGAGGCAGCCUGUGCCCUUGUGGACAUUUUCCUUUCUUCUUUCCUUGAAACAAAUACCAUGUGAAAUUGUGAGAUGCUAUUGGUUCCACUCCUAUUAAGGGCUUGGCACUCUAGCAGUGUCUUUGCAUGUAAAUUACCCCAUUGCUGCUGGGUUUUGCUGUCCUUGAGAAAUCCCCGUUUUGUGUUCCUGGGAAUGGAGAUUUGUGAAAUGGAAAUGGGGAAGCCUGUGAAAAUGUCAGCUGCGUCCCUGAGACAAAUGGUGGAACAAAUUGCUCUCUGUGGGGUUCCAGAAAAAAAGGAAUACAGGGUGGUUUUUAUAUCAGGAGCCGCAUCACAAUGGAGACUUUCCUGACACACAGAGAGAUCGCUUUGAAGCAAUCUAGAGGGAUAUAGACAUGCAAUUUUGUGUUUUGGGAAAGUGGUAGAAAGGGUUCAGAAAUUGAAGUUGUUGAGUUGAAAUAAAAGGA